UACGUAGGGGGCAAGCGUUGUCCGGAAUCAUUGGGCGUAAAGCGCGUGUAGGCGGCCCGAUAAGUCCGCUGUGAAAGUCCAGGGCUCAACCCUGGGAUGCCGGUGGAUACUGUCGGGCUCGAGUCCGGAAGAGGAGUGUGGAAUUCCUGGUGUAGCGGUGAAAUGCGCAGAUAUCAGGAGGAACACCAAGGGCGAAGGCAGCACUCUGGGACGGGACUGACGCUGAGACGCGAAAGCGUGGGGAGCAAACAGG
rnacentral:rRNA from 1 species